ensembl:lncRNA
CUCGAACUAUUUUUGUCCACAGAUACGGAUUCCAGUCCUCGAUAACACUCCUCUUCAGCCCUUCCUCGACACACUCCACUUCAGCCCUUAAUUUCCAGCCGACUCCACUCCAGGUAAGUUUAAAGCAAGAGCUAGGCAGUUGACGUGCAGGGACUUUCUGGCUCUGGGGGGGGGGGGUGGACUUCAAGACCCAAGGCUGAGCUGUUAGCGUGCAGGGGUUCUAGCUCUCAGGUAAGUACAAAGUUCAAUACACAGGUGGGUAUUCACAGGGCUGGGCUGUUAGCGUGCAGGGGUUCUAGCUCCCAGGUAAGUACAAAGUUCAAUACACAGGUGAGCAUUCACAGGGCUGGGCUGUUAACUGGCUACUCACCACUGAAGAUAUUCAGAGGUCGGUAUUCCAAGCAGAUACGGGUUUGGUCGAUGACUGACGGCUGGUGGGCCUUACAGGUGAGACUGCAAACAAUACUGGGCUUCCCGCCCAGCUUGGCAAGGGGGCACACGGGGGAGGAUCGGCUGUUGUCCUUCGCUUCCCUCGUCAAAGAGACAGCACAGACGACACGCACAAGGCCGGUGGUUGCUGACAAGGCCAAUGACACAACGUCACGUGGAUGAAAAGGUAAGGCUUUGAUUUAAAAGCUUACAGAGAUCGCUGUGUGGGCGACGUCAUCCAACCUCCUCCAGAGGCGCCUCCAACACGUCCAAGCUCCAGCUUACUUAAGGUAAAGACUGUGGUUGCCACCAAUACACUGCUCCUCUCUGUCAGGCCUCUUCCUACGACCGGGGACACAACCACGGACAAACACCACACACCACAAAGGCACUACAAUUCUUCUCGUGUGUACACUUCAAUAUAGCAGCACUCACCGCACUCCACACACUCAGUGAAAGAAGAUCCGUGGUGUAUUCCCGUUUCGGGCUCAGAGUCCUGGCGGGGCGUGUCAGAUGGACGAAGGCAGGGGGCAGACCACAGCAGGCGUAUAUAUCGUACACCGGAGUCUCUCCGUCUUUCCCAGCGAUCUCCAACGCAAGGCACUACUAUCAACACUGAGUAAACACACAAGCACUGAGGAUUAUUAGAUCAACACAAGAGAGGGGGGGGGGGGGAUUACCCACUGCUACGGAGAAAUAUGCAGUCGGAACACUUUCUUAAAGGCAGUUAGUCUCCCUCCACAUCCGUCAUCCACUCUCCACAAUAUACAAGGAAUGUUCAUAAAGUCUUCACCCACCAGUACACAGUGUUGUCCUCUCCCAAUACGAAUUCAAUGAUCUCCUUCACUCAGGGGCCUUCCAAACAUAGGAU